rnacentral:rRNA from 1 species
CCUACGGGAGGCAGCAGUGAGGAAUAUUGGUCAAUGGACGAGAGUCUGAACCAGCCAAGUAGCGUGAAGGAUGACUGCCCUAUGGGUUGUAAACUUCUUUUAUAUGGGAAUAAAAUGUUCCACGUGUGGGAUUUUGUAUGUACCAUAUGAAUAAGGAUCGGCUAACUCCGUGCCAGCAGCCGCGGUAAUACGGAGGAUCCGAGCGUUAUCCGGAUUUAUUGGGUUUAAAGGGAGCGUAGGUGGAUUGUUAAGUCAGUUGUGAAAGUUUGCGGCUCAACCGUAAAAUUGCAGUUAGAACUGGCAGUCUUGAGUACAGUAGAGGUGGGCGGAAGUCGUGGUGUAGCGGUGAAAUGCUUAGAUAUCACGAAGAAAUCCGAUUGCAAGGCAGUUCACUGGACUGCAACUGACACUGAGGCUCGAAAGUGUGGGUAUCAAACAGGAUUAGAUACCCUGGUAGUC